AGUCGUCUAAGCGACUCUAAAAAGGCUUUAAGCUUAGAGCGUUCGCCCAUAUUGGGCGAGGUUGUA
rnacentral:ribozyme from 10 species